AUUUGAAUGUAAAAAUCAAGAGGUUUUAAAAUCAUGAACAUUAUGACCCUAUCGAGGUUCCAAAGAAAAAAAAGAAUUUUUUCUUCAUUGUAUGAAAUCUCUCUCUUCUUCCGUUUCCCCCUCAAAUGGAGGAGACUCACUCAAUUAAAACCCAAACGUUCUCUCUCUUCAUCCUCACUUUCUUUCUCUUCUUCACACCUUCUCUACCCCACAGACAACAACCUCAUUUCUUGUGGCUCCAUCGUUGACAACCGUCGUUUUAUCUUCGAUUCCCAUCCAAAUUCGCCACUUCUCUCCUCAACGGAAACGAUUCCGCUCACCAACCAGAACCCGUCUCCCAAUUAUUCCCAAAUCUACAACACUGCAACACUGCAAGAGUUUUCAAAAUAUGCUUUUGAGGUCAAGGAACCGGGGACCCGUAUGAGCCAUUCUUGGUUGGAUCUCGAAUCUAUUCAAAAGGUGAUCCAUGGAGUACAACACGGAAGGAUCCGACCCGAACCUGAUCAACCAUAGUAAUUAAGCAUGAUAUGCUUGUAUGAACAAGUCAUUAACACUUGCAGGUUACUUCAGAAAUUUGGAGAAGAGUAGCAGACCCCAAUACAAAUUUCUGGUAAAUAAUAGCAUUAGAAAAGAAGAAACGAUCAAGAACAUUUAUGACUGGUGAGGAGAGGAUUUUUCAGCAGAGAAAAAAAACGUGACAGACCAGUGAACAGCAACUAACCAGAGGCAAAGCUCACCAUUCUGAUUCUACAGGCAUCGGCAUGCACAAGAGAAUUGGGAUAGCUGUCAACCCAACUACUGGAUGCUGACGAAAGUGCAUGCGUACUCUUGUUAGCUAUCCUCUGGGCAGCUAGAAGAGACUUUUGUGUUUACUUGACCGAAGAAAAACCUUAUUUUAUUGACAGUUUCAACCAAUAAGUCAAAUAUGAUAUUCAAUUCAAUUACAGAUUGCUACAUAGCAGAGAAAUAAUGCUUGUAUAAAGAAAAGUAUAAAAUCGCUCUGUGGUAGUAGGAAGUAACUCUAAGAAGGUGAAAGGGGGCUCGGGUGGUUCUGUAAAAUCCCAAACCGCCUCUCCAUGCUGGACAGGUAAAAAGGUAAAACUUAAAUAUACUAGAAGGGGAGAACUGCUGCUUUUAUUGCCGCGGGUGGGGGGGUGGAACCAAAAAGUGCAUUAAGAGAUAUCCAGAGAAAACUCUUGUGGUAUUGAUCUAUAAUUCAAAAAUUGUAAUAAAAAUCCCGGAGCCUACAAAAAGUUUCCAAGUCUAUUGCUCGAACUGAGGUUGCAGAAGCAAAUCUAUCGAAGUUGAGAUAGAGAUAGGUUCUUAUUUUGAUUGGAACUGAUCCAAGUUGAGACAGGUUCUUAUUUUGAUUGAACUGGUCCAAGGCAUGUAACAAUUAUAAUAAACCAC